ACUCUAGCGAGACUGCCGGUAUAAACCGGAGGAAGGUGGGGAUGACGUCAAAUCAUCAUGCCCCUUAUGACCUGGGCUACACACGUGCUACAAUGGUUGGUACAACGAGUUGCGAGUCGGUGACGGCGAGCUAAUCUCUUAAAGCCAAUCUCAGUUCGGAUUGUAGGCUGCAACUCGCCUACAUGAAGUCGGAAUCGCUAGUAAUCGCGGAUCAGCACGCCGCGGUGAAUACGUUCCCGGGCCUU
rnacentral:rRNA from 1 species